rnacentral:rRNA from 1 species
GAUGAACGCUGGCGGCGUGCCUAAUACAUGCAAGUCGAGCGAACAGAUGAGGAGCUUGCUCCUCUGACGUUAGCGGCGGACGGGUGAGUAACACGUGGAUAACCUACCUAUAAGACUGGGAUAACUUCGGGAAACCGGAGCUAAUACCGGAUAAUAUAUUGAACCGCAUGGUUCAAUAGUGAAAGACGGUUUUGCUGUCACUUAUAGAUGGAUCCGCGCCGCAUUAGCUAGUUGGUAAGGUAACGGCUUACCAAGGCAACGAUGCGUAGCCGACCUGAGAGGGUGAUCGGCCACACUGGAACUGAGACACGGUCCAGACUCCUACGGGAGGCAGCAGUAGGGAAUCUUCCGCAGUGGGCGAAAGCUUGACGGAGCAACGCCGCGUGAGUGAUGAAGGUCUUCGGAUCGUAAAACUCUGUUAUUAGGGAAGAACAAAUGUGUAAGUAACUAUGCACGUCUUGACGGUACCUAAUCAGAAAGCCACGGCUAACUACGU